CGGGAAGAAAGCGCGCCAUCUGAACGGAGACGCGGCCGCGCAAAUUUACUUCUCUGCUGUGAAGAGGAAACUCCACAUCUGUGAGUUGUUUGAUUCAAGAAUUUAAACGUGAAACUACCUGAAGCAAGAAGGCAUUUUCAAGCUCAAAUAUAUCUCUAUUACACUGAAGGAAUUCUCCCCUGACAGCUGGACGCUUUAUGAUUGCUGUGGAUCAGACCAUUGUGAACGAUGGUGUCACAAAUUGUGGUGAUGCCCUUCUGAUGAUGUU